rnacentral:rRNA from 1 species
GCAGUCGAGCGGACAGAUGGGAGCUUGCUCCCUGAUGUUAGCGGCGGACGGGUGAGUAACACGUGGGCAACCUGCCUGUAAGACUGGGAUAACUCCGGGAAACCGGAGCUAAUACCGGAUGCUUGUUUGAACCUCAUGGUUCAUACAUAAAAGGUGGCUUCGGCUACCACUUACAGAUGGACCCGCGGCGCAUUAGCUAGUUGGUGAGGUAACGGCUCACCAAGGCAACGAUGCGUAGCCGACCUGAGAGGGUGAUCGGCCACACUGGGACUGAGACACGGCCCAGACUCCUACGGGAGGCAGCAGUAGGGAAUCUUCCGCAAUGGACGAAAGUCUGACGGAGCAACGCCGCGUGAGUGAUGAAGGUUUUCGGAU